rnacentral:rRNA from 1 species
GACGAACCGUCCUAACGUUGUUCGGAAUCACUGGGCUUAAAGGGCGCGUAGGCGGGCUGCCAAGUCCGGGGUGAAAUCUUUCGGCUUAACCGGAAAAUAGCCUUGGAUACUGGUAGUCUCGAGGGAGGCAGGGGCCGUUGGAACUUCCGGUGGAGCGGUGAAAUGCGUUGAUAUCGGAAGGAACGCCGGUGGCGAAAGCGAACGGCUGGUCCUCUUCUGACGCUGAGGCGCGAAAGCCAGGGGAGCAAACGGGAUUAGAUACCCCGGUAGUCCUGGCCCUAAACGAUGGGUACUAGAUAGCGGACUAGACAUGGGUUCGCUGUCGAAGCAAAAGUGCUAAGUACCCCGCCUGGGGAGUAUGGUCGCAAGGCUGAA